ensembl:misc_RNA 7SK 7SK RNA
GGAUCUGAGGGUGAUCUGGCUGAAACAUCUAUCACCCCUUUGAUCACCAGGGUUGAUGAGGCUGUUCUGGCUGGCUUGGCGGGUGUCCCCUUUCUUCUUCACCACUCCCUGUGCAUCCCUUUGUAAGCUGCACUGGGUGGAAAGGACAACCUUUCCAGAUAGAGGAGGACCAUUCUUCGGUCAAGGGUAGAGAAGUAGCUGCAUUUCCCUGCUAGAACCUCCAAACAACCUUUCAAGGUCCUUUUGUAGGAGAACGUAAGGUAGUCAAGUUUCCAAGACCCAGACCCAUCCAAAUGAGGCACUGCAGGUGGCAGUUUGCCUUAC